UGGAGGAGGAGGAGGAGGAGGAGGAGGAGGAGGAGGUAGCCAACACUGUUUUUUUUUUGUUUUUGUUUUUUUUAAUUGUGGUAGCCCACAAAAUAUUGGGACAUAUAAAAAAGACAACUCUGUUCCGCAGAGUAGUUAUUGACAUUAUAGUUGCACAGGCACUUUGUUGACUCUAGAGAACCUCGGGCCAAUCACACAUCCCCGUGACGGCGACUUUGCAUUCGGAUGUCAUUCAUCAACUUUCGAUAAGAGUUUCUGCGCCUACCGUGGUGACCACAGGUAACGGGGAAUCAGGGUUCCAUUCCAUACAGGGACCCUGAGAAACGGCUACCACAUGCAAGGAUGGCA